AGCAGUCGCCGCGGUAAUACGGAGGGUGCAAGCGUUAAUCGGAAUUACUGGGCGUAAAGCGCACGCAGGCGGCUUCUUAAGUCGGAUGUGAAAUCCCUGAGCUUAACUUAGGAAUUGCAUUCGAUACUGGGAAGCUAGAGUAUGGGAGAGGAUGGUAGAAUUCCAGGUGUAGCGGUGAAAUGCGUAGAGAUCUGGAGGAAUACCGAUGGCGAAGGCAGCCAUCUGGCCUAAUACUGACGCUGAGGUACGAAAGCAUGGGGAGCAAACAGGAUUAGAUACCCCAGUAGUCCCUGUCUCUUAUAA
rnacentral:rRNA from 1 species